rfam:Triticum aestivum genome assembly, contig: Triticum_aestivum_CS42_TGACv1_scaffold_405493_5BL
AAAAUACUCCCUCCGUCCCAAAAAGCUUGUCUUACAUUUGUCUAGGUACGGAUGUAUCUACACACGUUUUAGGGUAGAUACAUCCGUAUCUAGAAAAAUCUAAGACACGCUUUAUGAGAGAGAGGUAAUAUUAG